GAUGAACGCUGGCGGCGUGCCUAAUACAUGCAAGUCGAGCGAACGGACGAGAAGCUUGCUUCUCUGAUGUUAGCGGCGGACGGGUGAGUAACACGUGGAUAACCUACCUAUAAGACUGGGAUAACUUCGGGAAACCGGAGCUAAUACCGGAUAAUAUUUUGAACCGCAUGGUUCAAAAGUGAAAGACGGUCUUGCUGUCACUUAUAGAUGGAUCCGCGCUGCAUUAGCUAGUUGGUAAGGUAACGGCUUACCAAGGCAACGAUGCAUAGCCGACCUGAGAGGGUGAUCGGCCACCCUGGAACUGGGCCACGGUCCAGACUCCUACGGGAGGCAGCAGUAGGGAAUCUUCCGCAAUGGGCGAAAGCCUGACGGAGCAACGCCGCGUGAGUGAUGAAGGUCUUCGGAUCGUAAAACUCUGUUAUUAGGGAAGAACAUAUGUGUAAGUAACUGUGCACAUCUUGACGGUACCUAAUCAGAAAGCCACGGCUAACUACGUG
rnacentral:rRNA from 1 species